rnacentral:rRNA from 1 species
AACGAACGCUGGCGGCAGGCUUAACACAUGCAAGUCGAGCGCCCCGCAAGGGGAGCGGCAGACGGGUGAGUAACGCGUGGGAAUCUACCCAUCUCUACGGAAUAACGCAUGGAAACGGGUGCUAAUACCGUAUACGUCCUUCGGGAGAAAGAUUUAUCGGAGAUGGAUGAGCCCGCGUUGGAUUAGCUAGUUGGUGCGGUAAAGGGCUACCAAGGCGACGAUCGACAGCUGGUCUGAGAGGAUGAUCAGACACACUGGGGCUGAGACACGGACCAGACUCCUACGGGAGGCAGCAGUGGGGAAUAUUGGACAAUUGGCGCAAGCCUGAUCCAGCCAUGCCGCGUGAGUGAUGAAGGCCCUAGGGUUGUAAAGCUCUUUCACCGGUGAAGAUAAUGACGGUAACCGGAGAAGAAGCCCCGGCUAACUUCGUGCCAGCCGCCGCAGUAAAAC